CCUACGGGUGGCAGCAGUAGGGAAUAUUGCUCAAUGGGGGAAACCCUGAAGCAGCAACGCCGCGUGGAGGAUGAAGGUUUUCGGAUUGUAAACUCCUUUUGUUAGAGAAGAUAAUGACGGUAUCUAACGAAUAAGCACCGGCUAACUCCGUGCCAGCAGCCGCGGUAAUACGGAGGGUGCAAGCGUUACACGGAAUCACUGGGCGUAAAGAGUGCGUAGGCGGGAUAGCAAGUCAGAUGUGAAAUCCUAGGGCUUAACCGAAGAACUGCAUUUGAAACUGUUAUUCUAGAGUAUGGGAGAGGUAGGUGGAAUUCUUGGUGUAGGGAUAAAAGCCGUAGAGAUCAGGAGGAAUACUCAUUGCGAAGGCGACCUACUAGAAAGUAACUGACGCUGAGGCGCGAAAGCGUGGGGAGCAAACAGGAUGAGAUACCCCUGUAGUC
rnacentral:rRNA from 1 species